AGUGAACGCUGGCGGUAGGCCUAACACAUGCCAGUCGAACGGCAGCACAGUAAGAGCUUGCUCUUACGGGUGGCGAGUGGCGGACGGGUGAGGAAUACAUCGGAAUCUACUUUUUCGUGGGGGAUAACGUAGGGAAACUUACGCUAAUACCGCAUACGACCUACGGGUGAAAGCAGGGGAUCUUCGGACCUUGCGCGAUUGAAUGAGCCGAUGUCGGAUUAGCUAGUUGGCGGGGUAAAGGCCCACCAAGGCGACGAUCCGUAGCUGGUCUGAGAGGAUGAUCAGCCACACUGGAACUGAGACACGGUCCAGACUCCUACGGGAGGCAGCAGUGGGGAAUAUUGGACAAUGGGCGCAAGCCUGAUCCAGCCAUACCGCGUGGGUGAAGAAGGCCUUCGGGUUGUAAAGCCCUUUUGUUGGGAAAGAACAGCAGCAGGUUAAUACCCCGCUGUUCUGACGGUACCCAAAGAAUAAGCAUCGGCUAACUUCGUG
rnacentral:rRNA from 1 species